ensembl:lncRNA
GCUGACUGCCAGUGGGGAAGGAUCUCUUUCUGGAGAUCACUCUUUUGGAGUUUUUCCUCUGAGCCUUGGAUGUGGGCCAUUAACACUCUAAACAACAGGGAUUCAUGUGCAGGUAUCUGAGGAACUCUCCAGUGUGAUUUAUAGCAUAAGAAAGUCCAUACUAUGUCUGAACAAAUAUCUCCCAAGUGCCUGUGUGUUGUCUUCAGUAGUGGAUGAUCAGGGAAAGUACAUUAACAAAGAGCAUACACUUCUAACUUCUGAGUCUGAGAACUAGUUUUUCUGCAAUAUCUUUGAUAGGAUCCCAAUUUCUGAAAUCUAUUAGUGAUCUAUGGGAAAUGCCUCAAGAAGAAAAGAAAACAUAACAAGAAGUUGCCAUUAUCUAAGUUUAGACAUUUCAGCAUCAAGCAACACUCAUUCUACAGCAUAUUAAUUGUCGGAAUAAACCUGGGAUGCUGUUAUGUUUACACUUCCUACCCAGCAGUACUCGCCAUGUAGAUAUGUUCCUCCUGUUCAGUUACACAGACGCAGAGAAUGUGCCGUAGUUGAAUUCAGCUGUUCAAUAGCCAAAGAGGAGUUGUGGAAUUACAAGGACUUUUGAAACUUGAUACUUCACAUGUAUUGUAAUAUGUAAUGUACUUUUGGGACACAGAUACAAAUGCUAACAUUAAAUAGGUCAAAAAAAGCAUUACUUUAUUUGCAGAUGUUUAUGUAAUUUUGAGAUAUAAUUUCUAUUCCAACUAAAAUUAAUACUGUCUAUGGUUCUUUCAAAACAUUCAGACUAUCAACGAAUUGGCUUGCACAGAAAAAAAUAUCUGAAGGACACAUUAACCUGUAGAGUUGCUCCAUAUCCUACUCACCUACCAGAGAGCUUGCUCUGUUUUAUAAUUGUUCUCAUGUGUAGCAGAACUUUUUCAAUCCGAAUUCUACUUUCAGUCAACUGGGAAGUAGUAUAUAUGUGCAUCACAUUGGCUUAUGCAUGUAUUUACUUUUACUUAUACUCUGGUGUAGAGGUUGCGAUUUAUUAUCUUAAUUAAAAAAAAUGCAAUAUAUGAUUCUUUGGUAGACUUUUAAGUUUCUUUUCCCUUCCUGUUCUAAGUAUAAGAUGUAAAUAUGUUGAGGAUGGUGUGUGUGACAUAUUAAUUUUAUCAGUUUUCUCUAUGAGGUUAGAAAAUUAUGUCAUUAUCGAGUUUUGUGUAAACAAAGCUAAUUUUCUCAUCUUCUGGACAGAAUUUUUUCAUGUCUGCUAUGCAUAUUAUAGAGGAAGGGAAAUAAAUGUUCUUAAUCACCUUAAAAAGUGAUUUUGUCCUGACAAUUUUUUUAUAUUUCUGUGUCUUAUAUGUACUUCAUCUGUAAAUUCUUCCAAUAAUACAUUAAAUUCUUACAGGAG